GGUGGAGUCACCAUCCCUGGAGGUCUUUAAAAGACGUUUAGAUGUAGAGCUUAGGGAUAUGGUUUAGUGGAGUACUUAGUGUUAGGUCGGAGGUUGGACUCGAUGAUCUUGAGGUCUCUUCCAACCUAGAGAAAUCUGUGAAUCUGUGAAGAUGACUUGUUAAAAUACAGGCACCAAUUUCUCUGCUUCUGGUGUUCACUAAAGCUCAGACACUGGGAUUUCAUUGCUGGGCAAAUCCAGGAACAUUGGUAAUUUUGUGGCUCAAGUAAGUACAAAAUGUCAUUAAACCAUUUAUACUGGUUUACUGGUUGGUUAGUACAUACAAAAUUGCUGUGAGUAGGUGGAGCUGUUAGCUAUAUAACAGGAUGACAGAUUCCUUUUUCAACCCUGUUACAGUACAGUAGAGACCAACACCCGAAGUGCUUCAUGUUAAGUCUUCUGAGCAGUGUGGACAACACAGAUCUUGGAUGAGCAAGUAGAAAUAGUUUGGUAUCACUGAUAUGACAGAGUCUGGAAAAGAGAAGAUCCCACACAUGAAUAUACAAGACCUGAUUCUUUCUGCAUUUGUGCCCAACACAGUCUCCAUUAACAUCAGAGACCACAGACUGACAUCUGUGUGAAUGACAUGAUAACCAAGACAGUAAAAAUGGUUGGGACUUCCCAUCUCUAAAUAGGCUGAUUUUUCAAACUGGAAGCAAAUUUGAAGUACAGCAGCCUUCUGCAAUGCCUUGACCUGCCCAUUCAAUGUGUCCAAGCAUUACAUGUUAGCUUCGAAGCUGUAUCUGGGGUGGCAGCUGCAGCAGACCCUGCUGGCAUAACCUCAGGCACCACCAUGGCACAGUCAAAGUGGGUUGAUACCAACACUGACAGCCCGGAUCUCAGCAUGAGCUCAUUCAGCCACCUUCUUGGGAAAGCACUGGCUGAGUCCAGCAUUUUCCUGAGGAGGUCGGUGGACUUUAUAAGAGUGUCUGAAUGCUGCUCAGAAAAUAAUGACGGUAAGCCAAGAAGAGGUGGAAAUACCUGACUGUGAGAAGUGAUCUAUGAGAAAAAAAUCUGCUCUACAGCUGGAGUGAGUUCUAUGGUUGGUACGGGAAAAAAAAAUCAUGGAUGGGUCCGAAACCAUUGAGGGAAGAAUGUAGUUCACUUUAGAAUGGACUUUUGGUUGUAAUCCUAAAUCUGUUGAAGUCUAUAGAAGGAUUUGUAUUGGCUUCAAAGGAUAUUGAGCUGUGGCGUGGUUCCUGAGCUGCCUUUGGGUUACAGGAUCACAGGAAUAUAUGACAAGAUUUCAACCAUCUGCUGAAAUCAUUGAUUGAAUAGAACAGUCAAG
rnacentral:lncRNA from 1 species